rnacentral:rRNA from 1 species
CGUAGUCAUAUGCUUGUCUCAAAGAUUUAGCCAAGCAUGUUUAAGUAUAAACAACUUUAUACUGUGAAACUGCGUACAGCUCAUUAUAUCAGUUAUUAUUUAUUUGAUGGUCAAAUACUACUUGGAUAACCGUAGUAAUUCUAGAGGUAAUACAUUACCACAGCUUCUACCGCAAAGACGAAGCGUAUUUAUUAGAUAAAAAACCAAUGUGGUUUGGCAUUUUUUUGGUGAUUCAUAGUAACUGUUUGAAUCGAGGAUCACUUCCCGAUAGUUCAUUCAAAUUUUUGCCCUAUCAGCUUCCGACGGUAGUGUAGUGGACUUCCGUGGCAUUAACGGGUGACGGGGAAUUAGGGUUUGAUUCCGGAGAGGGAGCCUGAGAAACGGCUACCACAUCCAAGGAAGGCAGCAGGCGCGGGAAUUACCCAAUCCUGACACAGGGAGGUAGUGACCAAAAAUAACAAUACUAAAUCUUUAAUGGUUCAGUAAUUGGAAAGGGUUUUAUUUAAAAACCUUAACGAAAGCAACU